GGGGUUGUGGCUUAGCGGUAGAGCUCUCAUCUAGCAUGUGUGAGGACCUGGGUUCUAUUCUCAGCACCA
rnacentral:tRNA from 1 species